rnacentral:rRNA from 1 species
GACGAACGCUGGCGGCGUGCUUAACACAUGCAAGUCGAACGGAAAGGCCCGGCUUUUGUGGGGUGCUCGAGUGGCGAACGGGUGAGUAACACGUGAGUAACCUGCCCUUGACUUUGGGAUAACUUCAGGAAACUGGGGCUAAUACCGGAUAGGAGCUCCUGCUGCAUGGUGGGGGUUGGAAAGUUUCGGCGGUUGGGGAUGGACUCGAGGCUUAUCAGCUUGUUGGUGGGGUAGUGGAUUACAAAGGCUUUGACGGGUAGCCGGCCUGAGAGGGUGACCGGCCACAUUGGGACUGCGAUACGGCCCAGACUCGUACGGGCGGCAGCGGGCGGGAGUCUUGCACAAUGGGCGGACGCCUGAUGCAGCAACGCCGCGUGCGGGAUGCCGGCUUUCGGGUUGUAAACCGCUUUCGCCUGUGACGAAGCGUGAGUGACGGUAAUGGGUAAAGAAGCACCGGCUAACUACGUG